UUUGUUUUUUAAUUAAAAACUAGAAUGAAAGGUUAUACAUUCAAAAUUCUUUAUUAAUUUUUAAUAAAUAAUUUAUAUUAAAUAUAAAAAUAUAUUUAUAAAAAAAAAAGACGACAAGACCCUAUUAAAUUUUACUUAUAGUUUAGCUGGGGAAGCUUUUCAAUUAAAAUUUUUUAAAUUUAAUAAAUAAAAAUCCAAUAAAAUUAAAAUUUUAAUAAAUUACUAUAGGGAUAACAGCAUUAUAUUUUUUAAAAGUUCAUAUUAAAAAAAAUGAUUGUGACCUCGAUGUUGAAUUAUAUUUUCUAUAUUUAAUGCAAUAAUUAUAAAAGUAGAUCUGUUCGAUCUUUAAAAUAUUACAUGAUUUGAGUUCAAACCGAUGUAAAUCAGGUUGGUUUUUAUCUUUUUAUAUAUUUUUCUAGUACGAAAGGACAAAAAAAUUUUUAUUUUAAUAAAUUAGCAAAUAAAUGCAUUAGAUUUAGAAUCUAAAUAUAUUUAAUAAUUUUUUUUAUUAAUCCUUUAUUAUCUAUUAUUAUACUCUUAAUUUCAGUAGCAUUUUAUACAAUUUUAGAACGAAAAUUUUUAAGAUAUAUUCAAAUUCGAAAAGGACCAAAUAAAGUAGGAUUUUUAGGUAUUUUACAACCUUUUAGUGAUGCUAUUAAAUUAUUUAAUAAAAAUUUAAUUUUAUCUGAAAGAAUAAAUUUUACAUUAUCAUAUUUAACUCCAGCAUUAUCUUUAAUUUUAAGAAUAAUAAUUGUAUCUAUAUUACCAAUAUAUUUUUAUUCUCCAUUUGAUAAUAAAAAUAAUAUUUUAAUAUUUUUUGUAAUUUCAAGAUUAUCAGUAU
rnacentral:rRNA from 1 species